AGUGCAGACGCGGAACUGGCGCCCGCUCGGAGCGGCGCCGCGCUGGGGAGCGACUGACGCCCCGCUGCCGGGGGACGUCGGGCUGGGCCUGGCCAGUCCCCCAGAGCUUGGGAGACUUCGAUUUUCAGAAUUCCUCCUGGGAAUGCUGACUCCUUGCUUGGUGCCCUGAUGCUUCUCUGAGAUAAACUGAUGAAUUGGAACCAUGGUGCAAAAGAAGAAGUUCUGUCCUCGGUUACUUGACUAUCUAGUGAUCGUAGGGGCCAGGCACCCGAGCAGUGAUAGCGUGGCCCAGACUCCUGAAUUGCUACGGCGAUACCCCUUGGAGGAUCACACUGAGUUUCCCCUGCCCCCAGAUGUAGUGUUCUUCUGCCAGCCCGAGGGCUGCCUGAGCGUGCGGCAGCGGCGCAUGAGCCUUCGGGAUGAUACCUCUUUUGUCUUCACCCUCACUGACAAGGACACUGGAGUCACGCGAUAUGGCAUCUGUGUUAACUUCUACCGCUCCUUCCAAAAGCGAAUCUCUAAGGAGAAGGGGGAAGGUGGGGCAGGGUCCCGUGGGAAGGAAGGAACCCAUGCCACCUGUGCCUCAGAAGAGGGUGGCACUGAGAGCUCAGAGAGUGGCUCAUCCCUGCAGCCUCUCAGUGCUGACUCUACCCCUGAUGUGAACCAGUCUCCUCGGGGCAAACGCCGGGCCAAGGCGGGGAGCCGCUCCCGCAACAGUACUCUCACGUCCCUGUGCGUGCUCAGCCACUACCCUUUCUUCUCCACCUUCCGAGAGUGUUUGUAUACUCUCAAGCGCCUGGUGGACUGCUGUAGUGAGCGCCUUCUGGGCAAGAAACUGGGCAUCCCUCGAGGCGUACAAAGGGACACCAUGUGGCGGAUCUUUACUGGAUCGCUGCUGGUAGAGGAGAAGUCAAGUGCCCUUCUGCAUGACCUUCGAGAGAUUGAGGCCUGGAUCUAUCGAUUGCUGCGCUCCCCAGUACCCGUCUCUGGGCAGAAGCGAGUAGACAUCGAGGUCCUACCCCAAGAGCUCCAGCCAGCUCUGACCUUUGCUCUUCCAGACCCAUCUCGAUUCACCCUAGUGGAUUUCCCACUGCACCUUCCCUUGGAACUUCUAGGUGUGGACGCCUGUCUCCAGGUGCUAACCUGCAUUCUGUUAGAGCACAAGGUGGUGCUACAGUCCCGAGACUACAAUGCACUCUCCAUGUCUGUGAUGGCAUUCGUGGCAAUGAUCUACCCACUGGAGUAUAUGUUUCCUGUCAUCCCGCUGCUACCCACCUGCAUGGCAUCAGCAGAGCAGCUGCUGUUGGCUCCAACCCCGUACAUCAUUGGGGUUCCUGCCAGCUUCUUCCUCUACAAACUGGACUUCAAAAUGCCUGAUGAUGUAUGGCUAGUGGAUCUGGACAGCAAUAGGGUGAUUGCCCCCACCAAUGCAGAAGUGCUGCCUAUCCUGCCAGAACCAGAAUCACUAGAGCUGAAAAAGCAUUUAAAGCAGGCCUUGGCCAGCAUGAGUCUCAACACCCAGCCCAUCCUCAAUCUGGAGAAAUUUCAUGAGGGCCAGGAGAUCCCCCUUCUCUUGGGAAGGCCUUCUAAUGACCUGCAGUCCACACCGUCCACUGAAUUCAACCCACUCAUCUAUGGCAAUGAUGUGGAUUCUGUGGAUGUUGCAACCAGGGUUGCCAUGGUACGGUUCUUCAAUUCCGCCAACGUGCUGCAGGGAUUUCAGAUGCACACGCGUACCCUGCGCCUCUUUCCUCGGCCUGUGGUAGCUUUUCAAGCUGGCUCCUUUCUAGCCUCACGUCCCCGGCAGACUCCUUUUGCCGAGAAAUUGGCCAGGACUCAGGCUGUGGAGUACUUUGGGGAAUGGAUCCUUAACCCCACCAACUAUGCCUUUCAGCGAAUUCACAACAAUAUGUUUGAUCCAGCCCUGAUUGGUGACAAGCCAAAGUGGUAUGCUCAUCAGCUGCAGCCUAUCCACUAUCGCGUCUAUGACAGCAAUUCCCAGCUGGCUGAGGCCCUGAGUGUACCACCAGAGCGGGACUCUGACUCCGAACCUACUGAUGAUAGUGGCAGUGAUAGUAUGGAUUAUGACGAUUCAAGCUCUUCUUACUCCUCCCUUGGUGACUUUGUCAGUGAAAUGAUGAAAUGUGACAUUAAUGGUGAUACUCCCACACUGGGGGAUGCCAGCGAGGUGGAGAUUGACGAGCUGCAGAAUCAGAAGGAAGCAGAAGAGCCUGGCCCAGACAGUGAGAACUCUCAGGAAAACCCCCCACUGCGCUCCAGCUCUAGCACCACAGCCAGCAGCAGCCCCAGCACUGUCAUCCACGGAGCCAACUCUGAACCUGCUGACUCUACGGAGAUGGAUGAUAAGGCAGCAGUAGGCGUCUCCAAGCCCCUCCCUUCCGUGCCUCCCAGCAUUGGCAAAUCGAACGUGGACAGACGUCAGGCAGAAAUUGGAGAGGGGUCAGUGCGCCGGCGAAUCUAUGACAAUCCAUACUUCGAGCCCCAAUAUGGCUUUCCCCCUGAGGAAGAUGAGGAUGAGCAGGGGGAAAGUUACACUCCCCGAUUCAGCCAACAUGUCAGUGGCAAUCGGGCUCAAAAGCUGCUGCGGCCCAACAGCUUGAGACUGGCAAGUGACUCAGAUGCAGAGUCAGACUCUCGGGCAAGCUCUCCCAACUCCACCGUCUCCAACACCAGCACCGAGGGCUUCGGGGGCAUCAUGUCUUUUGCCAGCAGCCUCUAUCGGAACCACAGUACCAGCUUCAGUCUUUCAAACCUCACACUGCCCACCAAAGGUGCCCGAGAGAAGGCCACGCCCUUCCCCAGUCUGAAAGGAAACAGGAGGGCGUUAGUGGAUCAGAAGUCAUCUGUCAUUAAACACAGCCCAACAGUGAAAAGAGAACCUCCAUCACCCCAGGGUCGAUCCAGCAAUUCUAGUGAGAACCAGCAGUUCCUGAAGGAGGUGGUGCACAGCGUGCUGGACGGCCAGGGAGUUGGCUGGCUCAACAUGAAAAAGGUGCGCCGGCUGCUGGAGAGCGAGCAGCUGCGAGUCUUUGUCCUGAGCAAGCUGAACCGCAUGGUGCAGUCAGAGGACGAUGCCCGGCAGGACAUCAUCCCGGAUGUGGAGAUCAGUCGGAAGGUGUACAAGGGAAUGUUAGACCUCCUCAAGUGUACAGUCCUCAGCUUGGAGCAGUCCUAUGCCCACGCGGGUCUGGGUGGCAUGGCCAGCAUCUUUGGGCUUUUGGAGAUUGCCCAGACCCACUACUAUAGUAAAGAACCAGACAAGCGGAAGAGAAGUCCAACAGAAAGUGUAAAUACCCCAGUUGGCAAGGAUCCUGGCCUAGCUGGGCGGGGGGACCCAAAGGCUAUGGCACAACUGAGAGUUCCACAACUGGGACCUCGGGCACCAAGUGCCACAGGAAAGGGUCCUAAGGAACUGGACACCAGAAGUUUAAAGGAAGAAAAUUUUAUAGCAUCUAUUGAAUUGUGGAACAAGCACCAGGAAGUGAAAAAGCAAAAAGCUUUGGAAAAACAGAGGCCUGAAGUAAUCAAACCUGUCUUUGACCUUGGUGAGACAGAGGAGAAAAAGUCCCAGAUCAGCGCAGACAGUGGUGUGAGCCUGACGUCUAGUUCCCAGGGUCUCAUUCUGUCGCUGCAGCUGGAGAGCAGUGGUGUGCUCUCUGCUCACUGCAGCCUCAAACUCCUGGGCUCAAGUGAUGCUCCCACCUCAGCGUCCUGAGCAUCUGGGACCGCAGGCACCCACCACCAUGCCUGGCUAAGUUUGUGUAUUUUUUGUAGAGAUGGGGUUUCGCCAUGUUGCCCAGCCUGGUCUCCAACUCCUGGGCUGAAAUGAUCCUCCCACCUCAGCCUCCCAAAGUGCUAGGACUACAGGCGUGAGCCACUGUGCCCGGCCUAUUUCUUUUUUUUAUUACAUAAGUUGUACAUAUUUUAUAUUCUGGAAACAAAAGUUGCUCGUGACUUCUCUAAGGAUGAUAACAGAAGGGUGGGGAUGAGGAGAAAGAAAAAGGUACAGUAUUUCUGUGGGAAACUGAGAGGAGAUUGGACACCUCCCCUAAUGUUCCUGUGUCUUGUUUCAGAGGACUGAUCAAGACUCUGUCAUCGGCGUGAGUCCAGCUGUUAUGAUCCGCAGCUCAAGUCAGGAUUCUGAAGUGAGUAAUAGCUCUGGAGAGACCCUUGGAGCUGACAGUGACUUGAGCAGCAAUGCAGGUGAUGGACCAGGUGGCGAGGGCAGUGUUCACCUGGCAAGCUCUCGGGGCACUUUGUCUGAUAGUGAAAUUGAGACCAACUCUGCCACAAGCACCAUCUUUGGUAAAGCCCACAGCUUGAAGCCAAGCAUAAAGGAGAAGCUGGCAGGCAGCCCCAUUCGUACUUCUGAAGAUGUGAGCCAGCGAGUCUAUCUCUAUGAGGGACUCCUAGGAAGGGACAAAGGAUCCAUGUGGGACCAGUUAGAGGAUGCAGCUAUGGAGACCUUUUCUAUAAGCAAAGAGCGUUCUACUUUAUGGGACCAAAUGCAAUUCUGGGAAGAUGCCUUCUUAGAUGCUGUGAUGUUGGAGAGAGAAGGGAUGGGUAUGGACCAGGGUCCCCAGGAAAUGAUCGACAGGUACCUGUCCCUUGGAGAACAUGACCGGAAGCGCCUGGAAGAUGAUGAAGAUCGCUUGUUGGCCACACUUCUGCACAACCUCAUCUCCUACAUGCUGCUGAUGAAGGUAAAUAAGAAUGACAUCCGCAAGAAGGUGAGGCGCCUAAUGGGAAAGUCGCACAUUGGGCUUGUGUACAGCCAGCAAAUCAAUGAGGUGCUUGAUCAGCUGGCGAACCUGAAUGGACGCGAUCUCUCUAUCUGGUCCAGUGGCAGCCGGCACAUGAAGAAGCAGACAUUUGUGGUACAUGCAGGGACAGAUACAAACGGAGAUAUCUUUUUCAUGGAGGUGUGCGAUGACUGUGUGGUGUUGCGUAGUAACAUCGGAACAGUGUAUGAGCGCUGGUGGUACGAGAAGCUCAUCAACAUGACCUACUGUCCCAAGACGAAGGUGUUGUGCUUGUGGCGUAGAAAUGGCUCUGAGACCCAGCUCAACAAGUUCUAUACUAAAAAGUGUCGGGAGCUGUACUACUGUGUGAAGGACAGCAUGGAGCGCGCUGCCGCCCGACAGCAAAGCAUCAAACCCGGACCUGAAUUGGGUGGCGAGUUCCCUGUGCAGGACCUGAAGACUGGUGAGGGUGGCCUGCUGCAGGUGACCCUGGAAGGGAUCAACCUCAAAUUCAUGCACAAUCAGUUCCUGAAAUUAAAGAAGUGGUGAGCCACAAGUACAAGACACCAAUGGCCCACGAAAUCUGCUACUCCGUAUUAUGUCUCUUCUCGUACGUGGCUGCAGUUCAUAGCAGUGAGGAAGAUCUCAGAACCCCGCCCCGGCCUGUCUCUAGCUGAUGGAGAGGGGCUACGCAGCUGCCCCAGCCCAGGGCACGCCCCUGGCCCCUUGCUGUUCCCAAGUGCACGAUGCUGCUGUGACUGAGGAGUGGAUGAUGCUCGUGUGUCCUCUGCAAGCCCCCUGCUGUGGCUUGGUUGGUUACCGGUUAUGUGUCCCUCUGAGUGUGUCUUGAGCGUGUCCACCUUCUCCCUCUCCACUCCCAGAAGACCAAACUGCCUUCCCCUCAGGGCUCAAGAAUGUGUACAGUCUGUGGGGCCGGUGUGAACCCACUAUUUUGUGUCCUUGAGACAUUUGUGUUGUGGUUCCUUGUCCUUGUCCCUGGCGUUAUAACUGUCCACUGCAAGAGUCUGGCUCUCCCUUCUCUGUGACCCGGCAUGACUGGGCGCCUGGAGCAGUUUCACUCUGUGAGGAGUGAGGGAACCCUGGGGCUCACCCUCUCAGAGGAAGGGCACAGAGAGGAAGGGAAGAAUUGGGGGGCAGCCGGAGUGAGUGGCAGCCUCCCUGCUUCCUUCUGCAUUCCCAAGCCGGCAGCUACUGCCCAGGGCCCGCAGUGUUGGCUGCUGCCUGCCACAGCCUCUGUGACUGCAGUGGAGCGGCGAAUUCCCUGUGGCCUGCCAUGCCUUCGGCAUCAGAGGAUGGAGUGGUCGAGGCUAGUGGAGUCCCAGGGACCGCUGGCUGCUCUGCCUGAGCAUCAGGGAGGGGGCAGGAAAGACCAAGCUGGGUUUGCACAUCUGUCUGCAGGCUGUCUCUCCAGGCACGGGGUGUCAGGAGGGAGAGACAGCCUGGGUAUGGGCAAGAAAUGACUGUAAAUAUUUCAGCCCCACAUUAUUUAUAGAAAAUGUACAGUUGUGUGAAUGUGAAAUAAAUGUCCUCAACUCCC